rnacentral:rRNA from 1 species
AGGAUUCCCCUAGUAACUGCGAGUGAAGCGGGAAAAGCUCAAAUUUAAAAUCUGGCGGUCUUCUGGCCGUCCGAGUUGUAGUCUGGAGAAGCGUUUUCCGCGUUGGACCGUGUACAAGUUUCCUGGAACGGAGCGUCAUAGAGGGUGAGAAUCCCGUCUUUGACACGGAUCCCAAUGCUUUGUGAUGCGCUCUCAAAGAGUCGAGUUGUUUGGGAAUGCAGCUCAAAAUGGGUGGUGAAUUCCAUCUAAAGCUAAAUAUUGGCGAGAGACCGAUAGCGAACAAGUACCGUGAGGGAAAGAUGAAAAGCACUUUGGAAAGAGAGUUAAACAGUACGUGAAAUUGUUGAAAGGGAAACGCUUGAAGUCAGUCGCGUCGGCCGGGACUCAGCCUUGCAUCCGCUUGGUGUACUUUCCGGUCGACGGGCCAGCAUCAGUUUUGACCGCGAGAUAAAGGCGGAGGGAAUGUGGCUCUCUCGGGAGUGUUAUAGCCCUUCGUCAGAUGUCGCGGUUGGGACUGAGGAACUCAGCACGCCUUUAUGGCCGGGGCUCGCCCACGUACGUGCUUAGGAUGCUGGCGUAAUGGCUUUAAACGACCCGUCUUGAAACACGGACCAAGGAGUCUAACAUGCCUGCGAGUGUUCGGGUGGAAAACCCGUGCGCGCAAUGAAAGUGAAAGUUGGGAUCCCUGUCGUGGGGUGCACCGACGCCCGGCCCAGACCUUUUGUGACGGAGCUGCGGUAGAGCAUGUAUGUUGGGACCCGAAAGAUGGUGAACUAUGCCUGAAUAGGGUGAAGCCAGAGGAAACUCUGGUGGAGGCUCGUAGCGAUUCUGACGUGCAAAUCGAUCGUCAAAUUU